GCGCUGGUGGUGUAAGGCGAACAUCGCUGCCCGGAAAGCAGAAUAUGCGGGUUCGAGUCCCGCCUGGCGCA
rfam:Heligmosomoides polygyrus genome assembly, scaffold: HPBE_scaffold0003794